UACUGCCAGACUGGAACCGGGAGAGGUAAGAGGUACUACAGGGGUAGGAGUGAAAUCUUGUAAUCCCUGUGGGACCACCUGUGGCGAAGGCGUCUUACCAGAACGGGUUCGACGGUGAGGGACGAAAGCUGGGGGCACGAACCGGAUUAGAUACCCGGGUAGUCCCAGCCGUAAACGAUGCUCGCUAGGUGUCAGGCAUGGCGCGACCGUGUCUGGUGCCGCAGGGAAGCCGUGAAGCGAGCCACCUGGGGAGUACGGCCGCAAGGCUGAAACUUAAAGGAAUUGGCGGGGGAGCACAACAACGGGUGGAAGCCUGCGGUUUAAUUGGACUCAACGCCGGACAACUCACCGGGGGCGACAGCAAUAUGUAGGCCAAGCUGAAGACUUUGCCUGAAUCGCUGAGGAGAGGUGCAUGG
rnacentral:rRNA from 1 species